AACGAACGCUGGCGGCAGGCCUAACACAUGCAAGUCGAGCGAGGACUUCGGUCCUAGCGGCGGACGGGUGAGUAACGCGUGGGAACGUGCCCUUUGCUUCGGAAUAGCCCUGGGAAACUGGGAGUAAUACCGGAUGAGCCCUUUGGGGGAAAGAUUUAUCGGCGAAGGAUCGGCCCGCGUUGGAUUAGGUAGUUGGUGGGGUAAUGGCCUACCAAGCCGACGAUCCAUAGCUGGUUGGAGAGGAUGAUCAGCCACACUGGGACUGAGACACGGCCCAGACUCCUACGGGAGGCAGCAGUGGGGAAUCUUAGACAAUGGGGGAAAACCUGAUCUAGCCAUGCCGCGUGAGCGAUGAAGGCCUUAGGGUUGUAAAGCUCUUUCAGCUGGGAAGAUAAUGACGGUACCAGCAGAAGAAGCCCCGGCUAACUCCGUG
rnacentral:rRNA from 1 species